rnacentral:rRNA from 2 species
CGAGUUCUCGUUGAUGAUCGGUGCUUGCACCGAGAUUCAACAUGGAACGAGUGGCGGACGGGUGAGUAACACGUGGGUAACCUGCCCUUAAGUGGGGGAUAACAUUUGGAAACAGAUGCUAAUACCGCAUAGAUCCAAGAACCGCAUGGUUCUUGGCUGAAAGAUGGCGUAAGCUAUCGCUUUUGGAUGGACCCGCGGCGUAUUAGCUAGUUGGUGAGGUAACGGCUCACCAAGGCGAUGAUACGUAGCCGAACUGAGAGGUUGAUCGGCCACAUUGGGACUGAGACACGGCCCAAACUCCUACGGGAGGCAGCAGUAGGGAAUCUUCCACAAUGGACGCAAGUCUGAUGGAGCAACGCCGCGUGAGUGAAGAAGGCUUUCGGGUCGUAAAACUCUGUUGUUGGAGAAGAAUGGUCGGCAGAGUAACUGUUGUCGGCGUGAC